rnacentral:rRNA from 1 species
UACGAAGGGGGCAAGCGUUGUUCGGAAUUACUGGGCGUAAAGGGCGCGCAGGCGGCUGAUCAAGUCAGAUGUGAAAGCCCCGGGCUCAACCUGGGAAUAGCAUUUGGGACUGGUCGGCUAGAGUUCGGGAGAGGAGAGUGGAAUUCCCAGUGUAGAGGUGAAAUUCGUAGAUAUUGGGAAGAACACCGGUGGCGAAGGCGGCGACCUGGUCCUUGACUGACGCUGAGGCGCGAAAGCGUGGGGAGCAAACAGG